UCUUCCAUCUCGGCUGCGCCAUAAUCCCGGCUCCUUCUCUCCCGACGCCCCUCCCGUUGAAUACAGCGUGAGCUCUGCCCUGUUGAUGUCCGAUCCAGCGCCGCCGAUUUCUCCAUGGAGUGCAUGGGGUUCUAUCCUAGGUCGCUCGCCGGUCACGGGCUCUCCCUGCCCUGUGCGACUCCUCCGCAGUGUGGUCAUCCUCCCGCGCGAGCGCGGGUGUGCCGCCGUCGUCGAGAUGAACCGCGCCGCCUUCGGUCGCUGCCGCAGCAGGUAUGCAUUAGGAGCGGGCGCCUCUUUUUACCACGGGAAUCAAAUGCUGCUGGCCCCUGAUCUGGAUGACCAGACCUGCAGCCAACUCUUGAUAUGGAAGCAUGAAUAGUGCAGGAGCUAGCAAAGCUGCCGCUCGCCGUAUGGAACACCAGUACCACCGUGGGAAGGUGGAAGCACAAAUAGAAGCUGCUCUUUCUUCCUGGCCGAGUAUGGAUCAAGCGUCUCGGUCAUUAGCUUGGCAGCUAUGCAACAUGCCGUCUCGCCAGCACAACUUCAACCCAUCUGCACAGGUUCAGCGACGCCCCCCUUUCCAUGUCCUCUCGAUGGCAGGAUUACCUCGAUCUCUGGUGCAGCCGUGGCGUUCUGGUUCUUCUUUCUCGCUUGCAUAAGAUAAGCUUUCUAAGCACAAGACUCUUCAGCUUACUGAAAACUUUCUUACCCACAAAACUUCUUGCUGAUAUCUAAAAACGAACUGAUAGGACAACUUCAUAAUCUUACACGUUUAUAGCUUAGGACCUGCUAUUUGUCUCACUUCAUUCAUCUGCAUGCGAGUUGCAUUUGGGUCUCCUGAGAGCCAAUUAAUGAAUGCAUAGGCUUUCAUUUCGAUUCCCACUGACUAAUGUUUCUUGGCAUGUGUUUCUUUUGUCUUAUUGGCUGGUUGCAUGACAAUUGGUCUUAGUGACUUUCUUUCGUUUAAGUUUGAUUUAGUAUUUGUAGGGAUACAUCUGUAUGAGGAGUUUCGUCAUUAAUUGCUGGUUUGGUUCAGCAAAAAUUAUGACAAGUGUGCAUGCGACAAUGGGUGGACUAUGCAGGAUUUUUUGUUUUGUUUUGUUUUAUUUAUUGCUAAUGAGGACUGUUGAUUGCUGCUAUUGACCCGGGUAGUGACAACACUCGUGCAUGGUUGUGAGCUAUGCAGUAGUAUAUGUGUAUUCUCAGUGUAUGUAAGCAGCUGCAUGUUGAACACUCGGUCUGUAGUCGGAGCAGCUAAUUUCUGAAUGUAAAAAAAUGCAGUGUCAUUUUUUCUAAGAGUAAAUUAGUACUUUGUAACAA